rnacentral:rRNA from 1 species
UAUCUCUUACCCAUGUCUUUUGAGUACCUUACGUUUCCUCGGUGGGUUCGCCCACCGAUCGGACAAAUUUAAACCCUUUGCAGUUGAAAUCAGCGUCUGAAAAAACUUAAUAGUUACAACUUUCAACAACGGAUCUCUUGGUUCUGGCAUCGAUGAAGAACGCAGCGAAAUGCGAUAAGUAGUGUGAAUUGCAGAAUUCAGUGAAUCAUCGAAUCUUUGAACGCACAUUGCGCCCCUUGGUAUUCCAUGGGGCAUGCCUGUUCGAGCGUCAUUUGUACCUUCAAGCUCUGCUUGGUGUUGGGUGUUUGUCUCCUGUAGACUCGCCUUAAAACAAUUGGCAGCCGGCGUAUUGAUUUCGGAGCGCAGUACAUCUCGCGCUUUGCACUCAUAACGACGACAUCCAAAAGUACAUUUUUACACUCUUGACCUCGGAUCAGGUAGGGAUACCCGCUGAACUUAAGCAUAUCAAUAAGCGGAGGAA